rnacentral:rRNA from 1 species
CCUACGGGGGGCAGCAGUGGGGAAUAUUGGACAAUGGGGGGAACCCUGAUCCAGCGACGCCGCGUGAGUGAAGAAGUAUUUCGGUAUGUAAAGCUCUAUCAGCAGGGAAGAAAAUGACGGUACCUGACUAAGAAGCCCCGGCUAACUACGUGCCAGCAGCCGCGGUAAUACGUAGGGGGCAAGCGUUAUCCGGAUUUACUGGGUGUAAAGGGUGUGUAGGCGGGAAAGUAAGAUAGUGGUGAAAUGCCUGAGCUCAACUUGGGAACUGCCAUUAUAACUAUUUUUCUAGAGUGACAGAGAGGAUAUUGGAAUACCCAGUGUAGAGGUGAAAUUCGUAGAUAUUGGGUAGAACACCGGAGGCGAAGGCGAGUAUCUGGCUGUCAACUGACGCUGAGGCACGAAAGCAUGGGGAUCAAACAGGAUUAGAUACCCGUGUAGUC